UACGUAGGGGGCAAGCGUUGUCCGGAAUCAUUGGGCGUAAAGAGCGUGUAGGCGGCUCGAUAAGUCUGCUGUGAAAAUCCAGGGCUCAACCCUGGAAGGCCGGUGGAAACUGUCGGGCUAGAGUCCGGAAGAGGCGAGUGGAAUUCCCGGUGUAGCGGUGAAAUGCGCAGAUACCGGGAGGAACACCAAUGGCGAAGGCAGCUCGCUGGGACGGUACUGACGCUGAGGAGCGAAAGCGUGGGGAGCGAACAGG
rnacentral:rRNA from 1 species